rnacentral:rRNA from 1 species
GUUUUAAAGGAUUAAUUUUAGAUUGUCCCUGCUCAAUGAUGGGAGUUAAAUAGCUGCGGUAAGAUGACUGUACGAAGGUAGCGUAAUAAUUAGUUCAUUAAUUGUGGAUUUGUAUGAAUGGGUUGAUGGGGAGACUUCUUUCUUGUUGACAUAAAUUGAAUUUAACUUUAAGGUUAUAAGGCUUUAGUUGGAGUGAGGGACGAUAAGACCCUAUAGAACUUUAUUUGGUUGAUUUUUGUUGGAUUGUUAAUGAAUUUAGUUGGGGUGAUUGGAAUAUGAGUUAAACUUUUCUUUAUAUAAAUAUACUUUUAUUUAAGUUUUUUUUUUUGGUUUUAUUAGGUUGAAGAGAUAAGUUACCUUAGGGAUAACAGCAUAAUUAUUUUGGAGAGUUCUUAUCAAUAAAAUAGAUUGUGACCUCGAUGUUGAAUUAAAAUGAAUUGAUGGUGAAGGAUUUAUUUGAUUAGGGUCUGUUCGACCUUUAUAAUUUUACA